CAGUCGCCGCGGUAAAACGUAGGGUGCAAGCGUUAAUCGGAAUUACUGGGCGUAAAGCGUGCGCAGGCGGUUCGCUAAGACAGAUGUGAAAUCCCCGGGCUUAACCUGGGAACUGCAUUUGUGACUGGCGGGCUAGAGUAUGGCAGAGGGGGGUAGAAUUCCACGUGUAGCAGUGAAAUGCGUAGAGAUGUGGAGGAAUACCGAUGGCGAAGGCAGCCCCCUGGGCCAAUACUGACGCUCAUGCACGAAAGCGUGGGGAGCAAACAGGAUUAGAUACCCCCGUAGUCCCUGUCUCUUAUAC
rnacentral:rRNA from 1 species